CCACCUCGAGGAACGCUUACCCAUCAUGGUACAGGCCAGCUCCGUGGGUAUGGUUCAAACCCCCCCGUCGCCGUCGUCUCUUCCCCCAGCAGAUCGUCGUCCGGCCGCGGGCCCACCAGAGACGGGCGGGGCCAGCAGAGGCCCCAGCCCGCCGUGGACGAGAUGGGCGGGGACUUCGCCAAAGAGCUGCUGGAGUACCGGCGGAUGCAGAGGCAGAGGAGGCGGUCCUACUCCAGGUCGCCUCAGAGGAGCUCCUCCGUCAGCCAGAUGUCCUCUGACUCCUACUCCGCCUCCAGGAGCUACUCCAGAUCAAGGUCCCACCCACGCCACAGACGGAGCUCCGCCCGUCGCCACGGCGACCGCUCCCAUCACCACGGCUACAAGCGGUCCCGUUCCCCGACGCCGCCCUCGUCCUCCCCGUCCCGCCGCCGGAGGAGCCCCCGGACGCGGUCCAGGUCCCGCUCUCGGUCCCGGGGGUCCCGGCGGAAGGCAACGCGCUGCCGCCACCACCGCCGCCGCGCCGGGAGUCACCACGAUCACCACGGCGACCCCGGGCGGCGGGGCUCGCCGGCCUGCGACCGCCACCCGCACCUCGCGGGCUGCGACGCCCAGCGCUUCCGCCAGUGGGAGACGGAGUACCUGCAGUGGUACGACAAGUACUUUGGCAACUACACCGGGACGCCCCACCACCUCCAGCCGCCGCCCCUCCUGCCCACGCCCCGCCCCGCCUGCGGCCGCCCGGCGCCCAGCCACCGCCCCGGCCGGCUCCCCGCCAAGAGGAGCCGCUCCCCCCCCCGACGGUCGCCCGACCGCAGCCCCUCCCCGGGCAGCGACGAGGACUCGGGCUCGCUGACCUACCAGCAGAGGUGCUCGGAGAUGUUCGGGCACCAGGCGUCGUACCGGGAGGAGGCCGAGGACAGGGAGCCGGCCCCCCGCGCGCCGGCCUCCAGGGGUCCCGACGACCCGACGCACAAGAAGAAGAAGAGGAGGCGGAGCGAGAGGGAGCGGGCGGACGGGGGCGAGGCGGAGGAGGCCCCGCCUCUGGGCGCCUCCUUCUCCUCCUCGUCCGGUCGCGGCCGCUGGGACGGGGGGAGCAACCACGACAGCCCGGGUACCCCGCUACACAACCCGGGGGUCUGCAGCCGGGCGGAGCCAGGGGACGAGGCCUGGGACCGACCCUACGCUGGGACGCUGAGGGCCGACGGCGGGAGGGAGGGCCUGAGAGGCGAUGGGGAGGAGGG
ensembl:lncRNA